UACGUAGGUGGCAAGCGUUGUCCGGAUUUACUGGGCGUAAAGGGCGCGUAGGCGGCCUUCUAAGUCGAACGUGAAAUCCCCGGGCUCAACCCGGGAACUGCGUCCGAUACUGGAAGGCUUGAAUCCGGGAGAGGGAUGCGGAAUUCCAGGUGUAGCGGUGAAAUGCGUAGAUAUCUGGAGGAACACCGGUGGCGAAGGCGGCAUCCUGGACCGGCAUUGACGCUGAGGCGCGAAAGCCAGGGGAGCAAACGGG
rnacentral:rRNA from 1 species